rnacentral:rRNA from 1 species
AUUGAACGCUGGCGGCAGGCCUAACACAUGCAAGUCGAGCGGAUGAAGGGAGCUUGCUCCUGGAUUCAGCGGCGGACGGGUGAGUAAUGCCUAGGAAUCUGCCUGGUAGUGGGGGAUAACGUCCGGAAACGGGCGCUAAUACCGCAUACGUCCUGAGGGAGAAAGUGGGGGAUCUUCGGACCUCACGCUAUCAGAUGAGCCUAGGUCGGAUUAGCUAGUUGGUGGGGUAAAGGCCUGCCAAGGCGACGAUCCGUAACUGGUCUGAGAGGAUGAUCAGUCACACUGGAACUGAGACACGGUCCAGACUCCUACGGGAGGCAGCAGUGGGGAAUAUUGGACAAUGGGCGAAAGCCUGAUCCAGCCAUGCCGCGUGUGAAGAAGGUCUUCGGAUUGUAAAGCACUUUAAGUUGGGAGGAAGGGCAGUAAGUUAAUACCUUGCUGUUUUGACGUUACCAACAGAAUAAGCACCGGCUAACUUCGUG